UACAGGGGGGGCAAGCGUUGUUCGGAAUUACUGGGCGUAAAGGGUCUGUAGGUGGCCAACUAAGUCAGACGUGAAAUCCCUCAGCUUAACUGGGGAACUGCGUCUGAUACUGGAUGGCUUGAGUGUGGGAGAGGUGAGUGGAACUGCGAGUGUAGAGGUGAAAUUCGUAGAUAUUCGCAAGAACACCAGUGGCGAAGGCGGCUCACUGGCCCGGUACUGACGCUGAGGUGCGAAAGCGUGGGGAGCAAACAGG
rnacentral:rRNA from 1 species